rnacentral:rRNA from 1 species
ACUCCUACGGGAGGCAGCAGUGGGGAAUAUUGGACAAUGGGGGCAACCCUGAUCCAGCCAUGCCGCGUGUGUGAAGAAGGCCCUCGGGUUGUAAAGCACUUUCAGCGAGGAAGAACGCCUGUCGGUUAAUACCCGGCAGGAGAGACAUCACUCGCAGAAGAAGCACCGGCUAACUCCGUGCCAGCAGCCGCGGUAAUACGGAGGGUGCAAGCGUUAAUCGGAAUUACUGGGCGUAAAGCGCGCGUAGGUGGCUUGAUAAGCCGGUCGUGAAAGCCCCGGGCUCAACCUGGGAACGGCAUCCGGAACUGUCAGGCUAGAGUGCAGGAGAGGAAGGUAGAAUUCCCGGUGUAGCGGUGAAAUGCGUAGAGAUCGGGAGGAAUACCAGUGGCGAAGGCGGCCUUCUGGACUGACACUGACACUGAGGUGCGAAAGCGUGGGUAGCAAACAGGAUUAGAUACCCUGGUAGUCCACGCCGUAAACGAUGUCGACCAGCCGUUGGGUGCCUAGCGCACUUUGUGGCGAAGUUAACGCGAUAAGUCGACCGCCUGGGGAGUACGGCCGCAAGGUUAAAACUCAAAGGAAUUGACGG